rnacentral:rRNA from 1 species
CAGCCGUAAACUUUUAUUUACAUCUAAAUCGCCAGGGAACUACGAGCUAAGCUUAAAACCCAAAGGACUUGACGGUACCCCAUAUCCCCCUAGAGGAGCCUGUCCUAUAAUCGACAAUCCACGUUUAACCUCACCAUUUCUAGUUUAUCAGCCUGUAUACCUCCGUCGUCAGCUUACCACGUGAGCGCCCAUUAGUGAGCCCAAUGCUAUUUCACCAACACGUCAGGUCAAGGUGCAGCAAAUGAAAUGGAAAGAGAUGGGCUACACUUUCUACUUUAGAAGAGACGAAAAACUAUUUAUGAAAUCUAGUUAGAAGGCGGAUUUAGUAGUAAAAAGGAAUUAGCAUGUCCAUUUUAACCCGGCACUGGGGUGUGUACACACCGCCCGUCACCCU